GACGAACGCUGGCGGCGUGCCUAAUACAUGCAAGUAGGACGAAGUGGCGAACGGGUGAGUAAUACGUGGGUAACCUGCCCUCCUUUUUGGGAUAAGCCUUGGAAACGGGGUCUAAUACCGAAUAAAGGGGGAUGGGCUCGCGGCCUAUCAGCUUGUUGGUGGGGUGAUGGCCUACCAAGGAGGUGACGGGUAGCCGGCCUGAGAGGGUGACCGGCCACGUUGGGACUUAGAGCCGGCCCAGAGUCCUACGGGAGGCAGAAGUGGGGGAUAUUGCACAAGGGGCGAAAGCCUGAUGCAGCGACGCCGCGUGGGGGAUGAAGGCUGUCGGGUUGUAAACCUCGUUCGCUAUCGAGCGGGUAGGUGGAGAAGAAGCGCCGGCUAACUACGUGCCAGCAGCCGCGGUAAUUC
rnacentral:rRNA from 1 species